rnacentral:rRNA from 1 species
AUUGAACGCUGGCGGCAGGCCUAACACACGCAAGUCGAGCGGAUGAAGGGAGCUUGCUCCUGGAUUCAGCGGCGGACGGGUGAGUAAUGCCUAGGAAUCUGCCUGGUAGUGGGGGAUAACGUCCGGAAACGGGCGCUAAUACCGCAUACGUCCUGAGGGAGAAAGUGGGGGAUCUUCGGACCUCACGCUAUCAGAUGAGCCUAGGCCGGAUUAGCUAGUUGGUGGGGUAAAGGCCUACCAAGGCGACGAUCCGUAACUGGUCUGAGAGGAUGAUCAGUCACACUGGAACUGAGACACGGUCCAGACUCCUACGGGAGGCAGCAGUGGGGAAUAUUGGACAAUGGGCGAAAGCCUGAUCCAGCCAUGCCGCGUGUGUGAAGAAGGUCUUCGGAUUGUAAAGCACUUUAAGUUGGGAGGAAGGGCAGUAAGUUAAUACCUUGCUGUUUUGACGUUACCAACAGAAUAAGCACCGGCUAACUUCGUG